CCCGGGCCCGGAGCUGCGUUCGCGGCGCUUGCGGCGCCGAUGGCUCGCUCAGGGAACUGCGGAGUUGCGUGUGGGGAGAAAAACAAUCCCAGACACAUGCCUUUCCCCAGGUGAAGGAGUAGGACUGAGGACCUCCUGGAGGUCCUGGCAUUCGUGCAGAGCAGCAUGGCACAUCCUCAGAAGGUCGUGGAAGAGGAGGGAGGACGUCUGCGAGUGCACCUCAUGCCAUGCCAAGCACGAACUGGUUGCUCUUGUUUAACUGCCCUGACGCAAGGAGCUCUUUCCCCAGAAGUACCAGAUUUUAGCUUCCCAGAUUUGCUGAAGGAGCCAGGGAGAACAGGAGAACCUCUGGGAUUCAGCCAAAGAAACAAGAUGGCAAAGGGAGUAUCUGGUCUGCAGGAACACCUCACAUCUCACAGGGGCCUAAGCCCAGGCCUCUUCUUGGAUGGACGGUGCUUUCUAGAGCUCCUGCAGCAGGUGGAGUUUUGGGAAGAAUCAAAGACGUGGAGAUGUAACACAGGAUCUUGCACACCUGCCGUCACACAGCAACUCCUGCCCAUCAGCACAGCCUGGUCUCAUUUUUCAUGUUGCUGCGGGAGCAAGAGACCUUUGUUAAGACCACGAAUAACAGGAUGCUGGAGCUGAUCUAGGAGCACUUGAGUAGAGAAGGGAGAGUCUCCGGGGCAGAGCCACUCCAGGUGCUUGAAAGACAACGCAGCAACAACAGCAAAGGUGGGACAGCAGGUUCUGGCCCUGCCUGGAGAAGGGACCAUCAAGACUCAGGCUGUGCUCAGUUACCUUGGAUUCUUUACAGUCCCCAUAGCUGGUGUGUGCAACCUUGAGGAUGGUGUCUGAGGAGCAGCUCAGCUGAGCAGAUGUGUAUCCAACAACAGAGGGCUGAGUGUGCAUGUCCGGAGCUGCUGAGGGGAUUUCUGCUGUGCCUUCAGGAGCUGUGUAGGAACCACUGCCCUUUUGCACAGGCAGUAGCUUUUCUCUGGCUCUGAUGUGUUGUGAGGUGCAAAAGGGCUUGUCCUUUUGGGAGUUCAAAGUGGUCAUCAACAGCCCCUUCCCCACACGGUGUCGUAGGGAGAAGUAUUUGAUCUCUGCCCAAACUCAGCUCUCCAACGGGAGGUCUGCAUUUCUCCAAAGAGAGAGGAUGAGGAGAAAAGACAAAGACACAGUGGCUGAUAGAAAGACUGGAGAAAGCCUAAGACAGAGCCAGGGCAGCAGGCAGAGGAGAGGCGCAGGUCUGGUGCAGUGACGGAGAAUGCACGGCUGUGGAGGGAGAGCUCCUUGCUGGGUGCACUGCGGCAGAGGGCACCAGAAAGCAAGAGAAACUUUGCUCGGUGCUGACAGCUUGUGAAAUACUGACGCCUUUGUGGGUUACAGAAACUGGGGGUGCCGGUGAUGGGAAGGGUGUUGUGCUUCAUGUGGGAAGGAGCGACGAAGAAAGACACGACAGUCUUCUGCUGCCUACUUUAACGUACCAGGAACACAGGCAGUGUCAUGGCCACGAGCUUUCUCGGCAUCCCGGCUCAGACCCUCGUGUGUGGCAGCGGCACUUCGGUGCAGAGGUGCUGCUGCUGCCCGCUGGUACCUGAUGGCCUUCCGGGACGCUGAACACCUGAGAAGCUUCUUGAGCUGGGGCAGCGGGUCUCUCUAUAGCUGUGUGCACCCUCCGAAUCCCGCAGAGGCUGCUCCUGGCGCUUCCACAUCACAAACUGAUGUGUGUGAUGCCGUGCGCCUGUCUCGGAGCCCUCUUCAUCUGCAGAAUACCACCAGUGCCAUGUCCUCGUCCCUCACACCCCGCCACACCCCCGCCUGCAGCUGGCCCCUGUCAGGGGAGGUGCGGGGACUCCCGGGGUCGCGAGUCCCGCGGCCA